rnacentral:rRNA from 1 species
UACAGAGGGUGCAAGCGUUAAUCGGAGUUACUGGGCGUAAAGGGCGCGUAGGUGGAAGUUUAAGUUGGUUGUGAAAUCCCUGGGCUUAACCUAGGAAUUGCAAUCGAUACUGAGUUUCUAGAGUAUGGUAGAGGAGAGUGGAAUUCCCGGUGUAGCGGUGAAAUGCGUAGAUAUCGGGAAGAACACCAGUGGCGAAGGCGGCUCUCUGGACCAAUACUGACACUGAGGCGCGAAAGCGUGGGGAG